rnacentral:lncRNA from 1 species
UAGUGUGGCAAGGAUCAUGGGGAUCGACCCUGCUAUGGUCUCAACAAUACAUGCCGCAUAUAUGGGAGUGCCCAACACUACGCGAGUGAGUGCUCACAAAAUCAGAAUCAAACCAGACCUCCUAUUUAGGGCAGAGCAUAUAACCUCACUCAGCAGGAUGCUGGAGCCAACCCGGACGUGAUACAUGGUAUGUACACUGUCUGCAAUCACCUCGCACAUGUUUUAAUUGAUACUAGUGUUUCACAGUCAUUUGUCUCACAUACUUUUGUAAAAUAUUUGAAUGUUUUACUUGAAAAACUUGAUUCUGUACUGUUUGUAUCUACUUCUAGGAGUAUGACACUAUUAGGAGAGAUUAUAUUUAAAGAUUG